UGCCACCACUCCCUCAGCCUCCGGGCUUUGGGUGUGGGGUGGAUAGUUGGUGCGGAAUCUACAGAAAAUCCACCUCUCCGGGUUUUACUAGCGGCAUGAGGAAGAAUAAGGAGGGUGUGCUGGGUGGCUGUCACCUACAAGCAUUUGUCUUCAGAUUCAGAAAAUCAUCCUUCAAUUACGUGGUCCUUAUACAAGAUUUGUGAAGAACUGAAGAUCUGCUGGGCUAGCCGGGACUAUCUGCCAGGAAGUGCUGCAGGGUGAAGGCUGGUAAAGGAUGACGCCUAAUCAUUCUUGCUUAACGGACUCCUAAUCUCUGCUUGCUUCUUCACCACCACUAAAACCAGAAGUGGGUUAGAGCCUCUGCAUCUCUAGGGCUCAUGCUGGGUACAGUAUCUAUUAUUAAACCAAGAAACAAGUUCAUCUCUGGAAAGAAGAAUUUGGCCCAAGCCCUCCUCCUCAGGGGCUCAUCCAUUGAGCAUGUACUCUUUGAAGCUCUGCUCCCCACUAGGGGGUUCCUGUGAAUGGAACAAGAUCCCUGCCUAAUGGGGGCCCAUAAGAAUGUGCUCUAGCUGUUAUUCCCAUCCAUGAUAUGCAGUGAAAUGCAGUCACACUGAUUUCACUAGUUUGAAGUUGUUUCCACUUCCUCUGUACUUGGGCACUUACCCUCACUGCAUUGCUUGGACUUUCUCAACCUGACUCAUCCACUUGGGAGUGAUGGAAACCCUGGAGCCAGAGGAAUGAAAACUACACUUGUGGCUGAGUCUUGCCGAAGAUCUGUGGUGUCAUAAAGAAGCAGACAGUAAUGGACCAGCAUAACUAGGCAAGGGCCUUUGUUGUUAUACAUUCUUUCAAAGCAUUAAAGUACUCGAAGAAAACGAAAGCUGGGAGCAUAUUGCUAACAUCAAAAGAGCAUCCGAGGAAUGCAGAAUUCCCGCUUUUGAGAAAGUGAUUUGGGCCCGACAUACAGGUCGAAAAAUCAAGAAAUGUUGCCAAAUAACAGACAACUCAUCUGCAAACACAAGAGUGCAUACUGGAAAUUGCUUGUAAAAUGAAAGCCAGCUGGCAUCACUAUAAAAAAGUCUUAGGAAAAAAGCCUCUUCAUCUAAUUCAUAAAUGGGAAAUUAAAU